CGUGGCGGUGGCGGGUACCGGCCCGGCGGAGAAGUGGAACCUAGGGACUGGUGACCCGGGAUUGGGGGCUGGAAGAUUAACUGGGGGAAGCCCCGCAGGUCACCAGUCAGCUAGAUGCUUCCAGAGUGCAUUCAGUGGAGUCUGAAGCCAGGCACCCACCCCUCCUCCUAGGGUGAAACUGGGUUUAAUUCACCAAGUGGAUCUUUAUCUUCGGGCCAACUGUUGAGUGUCUGCCCUUUGCCAGCCGUUCUAGGGCGUGUUUGCGUUGUUGAGCUCAUUCAGUCGUGCUGUUUUUAGUAUCCAGAAUUCAAAAUUCUGAAAGCCUGUGGGCGGUACUAUUAUUUUGCUGCUAUAAGAAAUAAUGAGAGGAAGCUCAUUAGAUUGUGUUUACAUGUAGAGGUAGCUUCCUCGUUGCGUUUUAUUUUAAGGUUUUUUACAACGCGUUAAAAGGAGUUUUAAAAAUUCUAUUUUUGUUUGCUCUGUCGACCAACUGUGAGAUGUAGCAUUAGAAGGGAAUGAAUUGCCUUUUCAGAUUUUAAUUACAAAGAUAUUUGGGGACUGCCUUAGGGUGUUUAAAUUUCAUUUUUUUCUGUAAGGAAAUUUAAUGUUUUAGCAUUAAAUGAUCAUUAGUAUGUAAACAAGUGAACUAAGUACAAGAACCCAAUGCCAAAAAUAUGUCAAGUAUUUUGACCUACUUUUUAGCAGUUGUAGUGCAUGUUGUGAUUAGUGGGUGGAAGGGAGUUUUGUAAUAACAAAAAUAAACUUCUGCUAAACUUUA